CUUGGUCAACAAAAAACGAAUUGCCGUAUGCAAAUCACGCAGUUCGAAUAUUACAGACGGAGACGCAACAACUUCCAACUUCGUUCGACAUUUGAAGUUGCACAAAGAAGGUGUCGUGGUACUCCACUGAAUCAUACAGUACUGGGAGCCCCCUUUGUGUAGCUAAACAAGGCUUUGACCACCAAGCGUUGCGAUGACGACAAAUACCAGCGCUAUGGAAACCAUCCUGCAUAGUGCCGGUGCCCAAGAAGCCCAUCCCAUCUGGCUUGGAAGACUUCAGACCGGUUGCCCUGAUGUGUCAUGUGAUGAAGGUCCUCGAGAGACUUGUGCUGGAUCAGCUGAGACCCCUGGUGCCUCAUUUCCUGGACCCUCUACAGUUUGCCUAUCAGUCCCAUGAUGCUGUUAUCUACCUGCUGCAUCGUGCUCACUCUCACCUGGAUGGUGGGAGGGGCACUGUGAGGAUCAUGUUCUUUGAUUUCUCCAGUGCCUUUAACACCAUCCAGCCAAUUCUGAUGACUGACAAGUUGUUCAAGUCAUUCCCCCAUCUUUACUCAUCGCAAAGAGCAGCAGAUGUGAUUGCAUGCGAGUGACAACAUUUUGGAAUAUACUUGUUUUGGAUGAUAAACAUUACACACUCCAGUAGUGUAAGUCUUUAAAGUUUUGGAUUAAUCAUAAUAGUUCAUUUAAAAAGACCCCGAUAUUUGGGCACCAAUGCAAUUUUUUUGUCACAAUUUCAUCCAGAGCGACCCAAACCGCCUUUCAGUCAAACAUCCGCAGUUAAGGUAAAGGAGCAUGGAUGGUCAAAAUAAAUUGCGUGAUUAGUCUGCUUGCAUACAUGUACGACAUUAAAGCAGUCAUUUUUUGUGAUUAAUCACAUGAGUUAACCCGUUAUUUUUGACAGUCGUAGUUCAAAUGAUUUGAAAGACAGGCUAGUCUUUACAGUAUACCGGUACUACAGAUAUUAUUAAAUGGGAACUGCACUUUUUUGGGGAAUUUUGCCUGUCGCUCACAAUCAUUAUGAAAAACAUGACGACAGAUGUAUUUUUUUUAAUGCAUUCUAACUCGUAAAUAAACAUAAAUAAAAGCCCACUUACAGUGCAGCCAAUGGGAAGUCCUCAAUUCCGCCUAUAAAAUCCAAUAAAUAACCAUUCAAAAAGCGCUAACAAUACUCCAUUUACAUUUUGUGAUUUGAAUAUUAACCAAGUAUUAUUGAUAUUGUUAAUAUAAGUGCUAAUGCAGGCGAACUAUUCUUAGCGGCGCCGUGAUCACUACAGUGUGUCCUUUUGUUUACAUCUUCGAGUGCAUUAAGCUGUGUGAGAAAUUUUAAGUCAGAAAUGUGGUGUGUUUGUCAACAAAAUAAUAGUACAGGCAACACAGCAA